UGGUGGUUGUGUUCUUUGCUAUAUUAAAGUUUUCCUUAUAUUUAUUCCAGGCCAUUGCUGCUGGGCAGGAUGUGACAAGUGUGAUGGCUUGCAAGGCUAUGGUGUACACAGAAGAGUGAUUUCAUUCAAACAAGAAGUUGUUGCUAGGGGCUUGAGAGUGAACUGGACUCUGAAGAGGCACGCGGAGAGAGGCAGCAUCAGGAGAGGAUGACUGAUCCUGAAGUUUCGCCUUCUCUGAACUGGGAUAAUUAUGAAGUUAUAUCAGUUUGCCAUGGCUACAAG
rnacentral:lncRNA from 1 species